GACGUAGGGCGCGAGCGUUGUCCGGAUUUAUUGGGCGUAAAGGGCGCGUAGGCGGUCGUGCGCGUCGGAGGUGAAAUCCCCGGGCUUAACCCGGGAGCUGCCUCCGAUACGGCAUGGCUUGAGUCCGGGAGAGGGGAGCAGAAUUCCCAGUGUAGCGGUGAAAUGCGUAGAUAUUGGGAGGAAUACCAGUGGCGAAGGCGGCUCCCUGGACCGGUACUGACGCUGAGGCGCGAAAGCGUGGGUAGCAAACAGG
rnacentral:rRNA from 1 species